AUUGAACGCUGGCGGCAGGCCUAACACAUGCAAGUCGAACGAACCCUUCGGGGUUAGUGGCGGACGGGUGAGUAACACGUGGGAACGUGCCUUUAGGUUCGGAAUAACUCAGGGAAACUUGUGCUAAUACCGAAUGUGCCCUUCGGGGGAAAGAUUUAUCGCCUUUAGAGCGGCCCGCGUCUGAUUAGCUAGUUGGUGAGGUAAUGGCUCACCAAGGCUACGAUCAGUAGCUGGUCUGAGAGGAUGACCAGCCACAUUGGGACUGAGACACGGCCCAAACUCCUACGGGAGGCAGCAGUGGGGAAUCUUGCGCAAUGGGCGAAAGCCUGACGCAGCCAUGCCGCGUGGAUGAUGAAGGUCUUAGGAUUGUAAAAUCCUUUCACCGGUGAAGAUAAUGACUGUAGCCGGAGAAGAAGCCCCGGCUAACUUCGUGCCAGCCGCCGCGGUAACAC
rnacentral:rRNA from 1 species